rnacentral:rRNA from 1 species
CCUACGGGUGGCUGCAGUGGGGAAUAUUGGGCAAUGGUCGCGAGCCUGACCCAGCAACGCCGCGUGAAGGAGGAAGGCUUUCGGGUUGUAAACUUCUUUUGGCAAGGGCGAAGCAAGUGACGGUCCCUGACGAAUAAGCGACGGCUAACUACGUGCCAGCAGCCGCUGUGAGACGUAGGUGGCAAGCGUUAUCCGGAUUUACUGGGUGUAAAGGGCGUGUAGGCGGGACUGUAAGUCAGAUGUGAAAUCCACGGGCUCAACCUGGGGCCUGCAGUUGAAACUGUAGGUCUUGAGUACGGGAGAGGCAGACGGAAUGCGUAGUGUAGCGGUGAAAUGCGUAGAUAUUAGGAGGAACACCAGUGGCGAAGGCGGUCUGCUGGACAGAAACUGACGCUGAGGCGCGAAAGCGUGGGGAGCAAACAGGAUUAGAUACCCCGGUAGUC